AUUGAACGCUGGCGGCAUGCUUUACACAUGCAAGUCGAACGGCAGCGCGGGCUUCGGCCUGGCGGCGAGUGGCGAACGGGUGAGUAAUACAUCGGAACGUGCCCAGCAGUGGGGGAUAGCUCGGCGAAAGCCGGAUUAAUACCGCAUACGACCUGAGGGUGAAAGCGGGGGAUCUUCGGACCUCGCGCUCUUGGAGCGGCCGAUGGCAGAUUAGCUAGUUGGUGGGGUAAAGGCCUACCAAGGCGACGAUCUGUAGCUGGUCUGAGAGGACGACCAGCCACACUGGAACUGAGACACGGCCCAGACUCCUACGGGAGGCAGCAGUGGGGAAUUUUGGACAAUGGGCGAAAGCCUGAUCCAGCAAUGCCGCGUGUGUGAUGAAGGCCUUCGGGUUGUAAAGCACUUUUGGCGGGAACGAAAAGGACUGUGCCAAUACCACGGUUCGAUGACGGUACCCGCAGAAUAAGCACCGGCUAACUACGUG
rnacentral:rRNA from 1 species